rnacentral:rRNA from 1 species
AUGGACACAAACCCCUCAGUGACAUGCUGGAACAUUCGAGGCUUGAACAAUCCGGCUAAAAGAAGAGCGGUGAAGGAGUUUUUAGACUCGGUUAAUCCAAGCAUAGUAUGUUUGCAAGAGACUAAACUUGCAGUUGUAAACGCUUUUCUGUUAUUACAAUGUUGUGGUCCGUCUUUGAACGGCUUUUCCUACUUGCCGGCGGAGGAGAUGAGAGGUGGCAUUAUCUUAGCCUGGGACACCACAGUUUUGCAUAUCGACCAUGUACAGAGGGACGCCAACUCCAUCACAGGAUUGGCUCGCCCAAAGGUUGGAGAUGAAUGGUGGAUCACGGUGGUCUACGGACCACAAGUAGACGAGCUCAAAACUCCGUUCCUUGCAGACUUGGAAGCUAGGAGAACAUUGUGCCAGGGGCCUUGGAUGGUCCUUGGCGACUUCAACAUGAUCUUGCGUGCCUCGUAG